UCAAAGCAAGAUGUUUUAUCCACUAUUUCAGAUAUCUCUUGAUAGACUGUACUUAAUCACCUGGUUUGGUGAAGCACUGAGGAUAGUAUAUAUCAGUGAUGAAACAUUGUCAAAUGAACCCGGUCUAUCAGAAACGGAGAGGGUUGGUAUUGGCCUUCUCCUGCCAGAUUCUGAGAAUAUAAGAUUUAAUCUGAAAGGUGAGUGUUUUGGAAAAAUAAACUGUUGGUUUGAUCAGUUGUUAUAGGUACUUACUCCCACCACUUUCCAUUUGCUUUUUAGGACAAAGAUUUUCAACUGCUUAUAUAGAGGAGUUGUCUGAAAAUCAUUUAGUCUAUGUCAGAUGACCAAAUUCGUGAUAUUGUUGUGUUUCUUCACCGCGCUCAUGGCCUCUCGAAGCAUAUAGAUUUUUUUUUUCUAACGUUACCUCCCUAUUCAAAGUCAAAAGACACGCGGUUCCAUGUUCCCGACCUUAUUCAGGAUGGCAACGUUUGGCCAGUUUAAAGGUUUUCAGAAUUUUCAUACUCAAUACACUUUUCAUAUUUAUAUGAUCCUAUAUUCAUGUACAUUCCCUUUUGUCUGAAUUUGGAAAAGAAAUAGUUGUGCCCGACAUCAAUGUCGAAUGGGUUAUGGAUACACCACUGAGUUAGAUGCUUUCAAAUUUGGCUUUAUGCUUCCUAUCACACCUCCAUGUAAAUGGUACAUAAAUACUCUUGAAUUAAAUAGCACUUGCUAUGCAGGUACGGUAAUUAUUAUAGACCUUGAUGUUUGGAUGAUUGGUAAUGGCGAAUGAAUGAAAAUAGAAUGUCCAGAUAAAGUCAUGUGCAGAUCAAGUUUAUAAAUAGAUGCUCCUAUGUCAUUGGCAACCAAAUCAAGUACAUGCACUUACACCCCUCUUGAUGCCCAAAAGGAACUUAUCUUUUGUAAGGCAUCAUGAUGCAGGCCAAGUUUAUAAUCUGACAAGGGAUUCUCAAACAGCUGUGAAAGAUUCAUGGAGCAUGCAUGGAGCCAAUAGGAAAUUAGAACAGGUUGGGGAUAAUAUAAAUUUCUAGCCUUCUUUUAGGUAGCAGAAUAUGGUAUUGAAAUAUGAUUAGUUCAACAAACAAACAAAAAACAGAGGAUGUUCACUGCACUCUACCUGAACAGUUGCACAGAGAAUAAAAUGCAUGUGUGUGUUUUAUUUUACUCUUGCAAUCCUUUUCCACUGAACUGCAUGGCUCCAUCAAAUACUGCAGAUUUGUUAUAGGAACAAAAUUUGUACGUACACGGUAAAAAAUAUUACUAACAGUUUUUCCAUUUAUAGUGAAUUGGUCGGUUAGUUACUUGGCCCUCUGCGUUGGCACACAUCUUAGUUUUAGAUUCAUAUCAGUGAGCAAAGCAACAUGAUUUCGCACCAGCUAUUUAAUUUCUUUAAUCUUCAUUAAUAUACUCCUACUCAUCUUUGCCCUUGCUUUCACAUCCCAAUUUGUUUAGAUAAAAAAUUCUAUCUUGCUUUGUAAGAUUUUAGUAAAAAACUGUCCUAGCAUUACUGCUUAUUGUUUGGUGUAAGGUAGAGUACUACUGAUAGACUUUUCUGAAAUAGAUUGGUCGAUAAACUAGCCUAUUAUAACGCUUAGCUUCAGCUUUAUUUCUGUAACUCAUUGCAGGUCGCCUUCAUUGCCUUGGCCCUUCACAAUGAUUGUUGUUCUCUUCAGGUACCACUUGCCUAAAUACCAAGUCAGUUACUCCAUAAACAGCUAUAUAUAGGUAUUCUGAUCCUAGCUGCGUUAUUACCCAUGCUUUGUGCAUUCCUUGGUCAUAUAUUCAUUACCUCAGCAGUUGUAAGCUCUUGAUAAAUAUUUCAACAUCUACGGUUGCCUGAUUUUUUUUUCUGUAAGCUUCUCUUACAAUGUAAUGCAAUGAAAAAUAAGGUCAACCAGUGGCUAAAUUAUCUCUCCUUUAUAAGGCCAUUUAAGUUGCUAAGAAGCAUAUAUGUCAUGUGUUAUGAAAGUUAUUGGGCGUACACCUGUUGCCUCUGGUCAUUUGCAUUCUAGAAGCUAGAACAAUUUGUGUAUAUAAGCAACCAUAGUCAGCUAUUGAUUAUGUUAUCUUAAGCCUUUCCUAAAAAAUACUAUGAUCAAUAUGUGAACUAUAGGUCUUUCAAUCCGCCAUACUGCAUACAAUCAAAUGUACACUCAAAAAUAGCUAAAGGUAACUAAAACUAACCAUCCAUCCGAAAAAAGGUACUACCACGGGCGUGUUUCCUAUCCCUUUUUUGCAUUCAAAGGCAUUGCUCUUUUUUCCAGGCUUUGCUCUUUGUUCAAGGCAUCACGUUUUCUGUUCCUUUUUGGAUUCCAGUUUUUGCUGCCUAGGGAAUUUAGAGGGCUGACCCUGAAGUGCACGUACUGGCAGUACUCUUUUGCUGAAACGAUGUGUUGGUUCAUGCAUAAUUUAUCCUCCCAUGCUGCCCACUACUUAGUGUGGCUAUACAGGCUGAUGCAAUCCUAGAUGAUGUGUUUUCUAGAUGUUUUUGUGGAGCUGGAGUAUAAUCAGGGAAUUAGCUUCAGAGGGCUAUAAAUGCGAGCUGUACCCUAGACAAUUGGUGCAGUCAUAGAGACAACUUAUUUAGUAUAAAUCACGUUACCUCUAAAUAUGUAUGCUUUAUAUUACCAGCUGGUACUAUGUUAUGGCGCAGUCAGUAGUUUUUGUACUUUGUGCUGCUCUACAUAGACGUAAUAGCAUACUGAAGGAUAUCUCUUAUCUUAUCUGGGUUUGUGUUACUUUUGAUCAUUGUAAUCAGUUCACUUACUAAAGAGCCAUGGCUAAUGAGCA